UGGUCUCUACCAAGGCUGCUAGGAUAUGCCAUUUCUAGUAUGCUGUGGACGUGACCACAAAGAAAUUCCUCCAGAUGUUUGUCUUGCUAUUGUAGAAGCAGCAAAUCUGUUGGAAACAUUU